CAGGCCUAACACAUGCAAGUCGAACGAUACCUUUCGGGGUAUAGUGGCGCACGGGUGCGUAACGCGUGGGAAUCUGCCCUGGGGUUCGGGAUAACCGUUGGAAACGACGGCUAAUACCGGAUGAUGAUGAAAAUCCAAAGAUUUAUCGCCCUGGGAUGAGCCCGCGUCGGAUUAGCUAGUUGGUGGGGUAAAGGCCUACCAAGGCGACGAUCCUUAGCUGGUCUGAGAGGAUGAUCAGCCACACUGGGACUGAGACACGGCCCAGACUCCUACGGGAGGCAGCAGUGGGGAAUAUUGGACAAUGGGCGAAAGCCUGAUCCAGCAAUGCCGCGUGAGUGAUGAAGGCCUUAGGGUUGUAAAGCUCUUUUACCCGGGAUGAUAAUGACAGUACCGGGAGAAUAAGCUCCGGCUAACUCCGUGCCAGCAGCCGCGGUAAU
rnacentral:rRNA from 1 species